rnacentral:rRNA from 1 species
CCUACGGGAGGCAGCAGUGGGGAAUAUUGCACAAUGGGGGAAACCCUGAUGCAGCGACGCCGCGUGAGUGAAGAAGUUUUUCGGUAUGUAAAGUUCUAUCAUCAGGGAAGAAAAUGACGGUACCUGAUUAAGAAGCACCGGCUAACUACGUGCCAGCAGCCGCGGUAAUACGUAGGGGGCAAGCGUUAUCCGGAUUUACUGGGUGUAAAGGGAGCGUAGACGGCAGCGCAAGUCUGAAGUGAAAUGCCAGGGCUUAACCCCGGAACUGCUUUGGAAACUGUGCAGCUAGAGUGCAGGAGAGGUAAGUGGAAUUCCUAGUGUAGCGGUGAAAUGCGUAGAUAUUAGGAGGAACACCAGUGGCGAAGGCGGCUUGCUGGACUGUAACUGACGUUGAGGCUCGAAAGCGUGGGGAGCAAACAGGAUUAGAUACCCUUGUAGUC